rnacentral:lncRNA from 1 species
CAGGGGGCGAUGGAGCCGCACGGAAUCCGCUACAGGAAGUGGAACAGGAUCAUGGUUGUUAUUGUGAUCUGCCAAGAGGCGCGGAUCUGUUGAUCGAGGCUCGAUAGUGGUCGGAGUUUGGCCUUUGUAGGAGUCCGGGAGGGGUCCUCCUUUCGGUUGAGGUCGUGGGUGGAGUCCGGCUCCAGCAGCUGAUACUGAGGU